CUAAAAUGUCAAAGGACCCACAUGAGAUUUUGGGACGAAAAUAAGAGACCUGUUGGUUUGCUGAACGGGUCUCUUAUAUAUGCGCAUAAGGAUUAAGGACCCACCACAACUAGCGUACUCUCGCCUUUUCUUUGUUUUUUUUAAGAAAAAAAAAUUCCCUUUUUAAUUCUUAUUCAUUUAUACAGCUCAUUAUUAGUCAUGUUCAUAUGAAUCUCUUUUCUUGUUCCCCUUUAUACGUCUCUUUCUCUUUCACCUCAUCACUUGUCUCAUCUCAUUUCUCAUUUUUAUUUCUCACGAAGCAAUUAACUCCUCCUCAUUAACGACGCUGCAUCUUCCUUCAACACCGGCGUUGCCUUCUUCUUUUAACUCAAAAUUUGAGGCUUUCAACGUCUAUUAUGACCAUAAAUACUCCAGAUCUAGAGUCUUAUGGUCAAAUUUGCCUAAAUAAUUCUACAAUUGAAUAAUCCUUAAAAAGAUGAUUUAGGUGCCCAAGAGUUGAUUUAUGUGGUGAAGAUUGCAUAUGGGAUAAUAUAUGAUUUUAUCCCCUUAAUUUUGUUAUUGAUGUUUAAAUCGUGUAAGGUUGUGUUUAUGUUGUUGAUGUCUAGUUUUUAACCUGAAUUAUAACCCUUGAAGCUUUUUUUUUAUUGAUUCUCUUAAUGGUAUACAGGUUUUUAGAGGCCAGAUGACCAAUUCAAGAAACUUGCUUAGCUGAUAUAUGGAGGGCUAAAGAAAUUACCAAAGAGAUGGUUGGAUUCACUUGCCGUAUAAAAUUGGUGGGAAUGUUGUUAGUUUUGAUAACUUAUUGUAAAUUAUUAUUUCCAUUAGUUAUUAUUUACUUGUUCCAUAAAUUCUCUUAUACAUGUAAAUUAUUGUUCGUAUAUACUUGUAAAUGUUACUACUA